UAGGGAAUAUUGCGCAAUGGACGAAAGUCUGACGCAGCAACGCCGCGUGGGUGAUGAAGCAUUUCGGUGUGUAAAACCCUGUCAGUGGGGAAGAAAAGUAUCGAGAGUAACUGCUCGGUACCUGACGGUACCCGCAGAGGAAGUCCCGGCUAACUCCGUGCCAGCAGCCGCGGUAAUACGGGGGGGACAAGCGUUGUUCGGAUUUACUGGGCGUAAAGGGCGCGUAGGCGGGCCUUCAAGUCGGAUGUGAAACCUGGCGGCUUAACCACCAGCCUGCAUUCGAUACUGUCGGUCUUGAGUAUGGGAGAGGAGAAUGGAAUUUCAGGUGUAGCGGUGAAAUGCGUAGAUAUCUGAAAGAACACCAGUAGCGAAGGCGGUUCUCUGGACCAAUACUGACGCUAAAGCGCGAAGGCUUGGGGAGCAAACAGG
rnacentral:rRNA from 1 species